CCUACGGGAGGCAGCAGUAGGGAAUAUUGGACAAUGGACGCAAGUCUGAUCCAGCCAUCCCGCGUGAAGGAUUAAGGCCCUAUGGGUUGUAAACUUCUUUUCUUUGGGAAUAAAAAGCGGUAUUCAUAUCGCCUUGAAGGUACCAGAGGAAUAAGCACCGGCUAACUCCGUGCCAGCAGCCGCGGUAAUACGGAGGGUGCAAGCGUUAUCCGGAUUCACUGGGUUUAAAGGGUGCGUAGGUGGCUUUGUAAGUCAGCGGUGAAAGCCUGGAGCUCAACUCCAGAAUUGCCAUUGAUACUGCAGAGCUUGAAUCAAGUUGAGGUGGAUGGAAUAUUACAUGUAGCGGUGAAAUGCUUAGAUAUGUAAUAGAACACCGAUUGCGAAGGCAGUUCACUAAGCUUGUAUUGACACUGAGGCACGAAAGCGUGGGGAUCAAACAGGAUUAGAUACCCUGGUAGUCCACGCCCUAAACGAUGCAAACUCGACAUUAGCGAUAUACAGUUAGUGUCCAAGCGAAAAGCGUUAAGUUUGCACCUGGAAGUACGACCGCAAGGUUGAAACUCAAANAGAGUAGAGNGNGAGAGAGCGAGACGACGACGAGGGAGGAGG
rnacentral:rRNA from 1 species